AGAGAGAGAGAGAGAGAGAUCGGCGGUAAAGAACAUACAAAACAAAACAAAAAAACAACAACAAAACGGAGUAAAAAUAAAAAACAACAACACUCGCAUCCAUUCAACCUGUGCAACACGCUGACCUCCUCCCUCCGGUCCUACAUUUUUCCAUUGACCGCCGCGCGUGGUGGGGGGGACCAAAAAAGAGAGAGAGAGAGGAAAAAAAAUUGCUUCAAGGCCAUGCAAAAACGUUCCCGGAAGUGAGUGUCCCAGCGGCCCGUCCCAUCCCAUCUCUCUCUCUCUCUCUCUCGUCCACGUGGCAGCCCCCCAAAACAAACAAACAAGGCAGGCAGGCAGGAUAGGGCAAGGACGGACAGGAGGAGGAAGUGGAGGAGGAGGAGGAGGAGGACUACUACUACUACACCACCACUACCACCAUCACCACCACUACCACCACCACCUCCACCACCACCACCACCACUCAUUGACUCGCCUGCCUGCUGCCUCCCUGGAUGCUGACUCACCCCACUCUCACCCCCCUCUCACUCUCACUCUUUCCCCCUCCCUAAAAAAAAAAAAAGUGAAAAAAAGAAAACCAGAAAAAGGCCAAGGCAAAAAUAGUUGAAGGUCGUUUUUUUGUUUGUUUUUUCUUUUCUCGUGUGAUCGAUGUUGUUAUUGUUAUUGCUGUAAAGGAUUUCUGUAUUUUGAUUUGAUGAAUGUGUUUGUUGUUGCUAUGCGCUGAAUAAAAAAAAAAAGGGCAAGAGUUUAAAGGGAAAAAAUAGUUGGAGUGAAAAUAGCGCUUCCUCUUUCCCACGUGACUGAUGUGGUAACAGCGACGCGUGUAGCAAACUGUGGCUGGGUUUUGAAUAGUGUGAAGAUGGUCCUCCACUCGUGCGAAAGAAAAGGAAAGGAAAAAUAGAACUUCGACUCUCCCACGUGGCUGCUGUGGUAACGCAUAUGAUGGUCUGACUCGCAUGAAAAAAAAAAGAAGAAACAAAAAAUGAAAUCUGGACUGGAAUGUUGUGUGGAAAACUAUCUGCGAAAAUGGUUCUCUGCUCGUACGAAAGAAGAGGAAAGGCAAAAAUGGAACUCUCCCACGUGGCUGCUGUAGUAACGCAUAUGAUGGUUUGACUCGCAUGAAAAAAGAAGAAAUAAAAUAUAAAAUCUGGACUGGAAUGUUGUGUGGAAAACUAUCUGCGAAAAUGGUUCUCUGCUCGUACGAAAGAAGAGGAAAGGCAAAAACAGAACUCUUCCACGUGGCUGCUGUGGUAACGCAUAUGAUGGUUUGACGCAUGAAAAAAAAAGAAGAAACAAAAAAUGAAAUCUGGACUGGAAAGUUAUGUGGAAAACUGUCUGCGAAAAUGAUUCUCUACUCACGAAAGAAAAGGAAAGGCGAAAAUGCAACUUACUCUCUCUUUCCCACGUGGCUACUGUAGUAACACAAGUAGUAAUAGGUUUAGACGCAUGAAAAAAAAAAAAAAAUUUACCCGGUAGCUGCGGUGAUCAUGUUUCUUAAAGGCCUCUCUAAGCGAACUUAUGGAAAAAAAUCAUCACUCCUGCAAACCAUUUCAUAAUAUAUACCUAUCAACGCAUUUGUGAUCAGUUUAUGCAUCAUCUAUUUUGGGGGGUUUAUAUCAUGGCAAAAAUUUGGGCCGUCGCUGCUACACGGUAAAGCCACAAAUUUGGUCCGUCGCUGCUACCGGGUUGAAAUCGCUCUUUUCCACGUGGCUGCUGUGGUAACGCGUAUAGUAUAAUAGUUUUACUCUCACGAAAAAAGAAGAAAGAAAUAAAAUCGCUCUUUCCCACGUGGCUGUUGUGUAACGCGUGUAGUAUAACAGUUUUACUCUCACGAAAAAAGAAGAAAGAAAUAAAAUCGCACUUUCCCACGUGGCUGUUGUGUAACGCGUGUAGUAUAACAGUUUUACUCUCAUGAAUAAAAGAAACGAAACAGAAAAUAAACUUGAUACAUCCCAAGCGACUGCAAUGUUGAGUGGUAAUCUGUCUGCGAAAAUGGUUCUAUUCGCGCGAGAGAAAAAGAAAAGGUAACGCAUGUAGUAUUAUAAUUUUACUGGCAUGACAAAAAGAAGAAAUGAAAAAUAAAAUCGCCCUUUCCCAUGUAUACCAGCAAUGUUGUGUGGUACCGGAAGCUGCCUGCACAUAUUGAGUGUCACAUAAAAGUAUUCUAUCGCAAGGAAAAAAAUAAGAAUAUACACACUUCCUCUUUCCCGUGUAACUGGCGCAGGGAAACUGUUUUCAUUUUGAUUGCAACAAGAACGACUCCGAUGAAGAUGAAAAAAAAUCUCCGGCGCGGUUGAUUAAUUAAUACUGUUGCGCCUCUUCCUCUUCCUCCACGGAUCAAAUAUGUUCAUGCGUUUAUAUUAUUACUAUUCUGAUUUUAACCCAAUGCAAACAAACACAGUAAUUAAGGAGGAAAGAUAUUUAUAAAGUACAUUCUACCUACCCCUAGUUUACUACUCACGUGUCUAACAUUUCUUUUUUUAUUAUUUUCCAUAUAGAUUUUUAUAUUAUUCUCAUACUUAUAAAUGCAAUGCAAACAAAGGCAAGAAUGAGGAAGAUAUAUUUAUAAAGUACAUUCUACCCUUAGUUUACUACGCACGAGUAUAACAUCUCUUUCUAUAUUAUUUUCUAUAUUAUUUUCAUACCUUUAAACGAAGAGCUAACAAACGCAGUAAUGAGGAAAGAGAUAUUUAUAAAGUACACUCGUAUACCUACCCCUUCACUACUCACGAGUCUAACAUUUCUUUCGUUUUAAAAUGCAAAAAUCUUCGGUAAAGUAAAAUCGGCGAGGCCAAUCUGCUGUUUUCAAGUUUUAUUCAUUAUUUUCUUUUUACAACCAACAAGAUAAAUUAAUAUAGUCUACCAUAAUCCAUAACAGUACUUUUUACAUCGUUAUUGUCUGUAGUGCAGCGUGUGGGAAGCCUUUCGGUCACCAGCUGUUGCUACAAUUAACCUCCUUCUACAGGACAGCGAUCGAUUUUUAUGUACACACCACCACCGCCACCACCACCACCACUACCCUCACUACCACCACCACCACCACACGGAGCAGCCACAGAUAGACAGGCCAGUGGGGCGUCCAUGACAUCGACAGUAAACAAUCCUUCCUUUUUUUUCCUUUUUUUUUGCAUCGUCCUCUCUGCCGGUCACUCUUCCAUCCAAAACUCUCCCCCCCUCACACACGUGCACGUACGCACACACACUUGCAUAGUACUCCUAGAUCCCUACUUUCUCUGUCUUUCCUCGAGGUCUUGCGUGGCUUAGGACAUGGUGGGUGUAACUACUAUUUGAUCAUGUGUACGUGCUUUUCUGACUAACACGCUGAUUCGCACGCACUUUACUAAACAGAGUAUGCUUGCCAGUUUGCACACACCUUGCCAUAACUACUAAAACUGAUAUCAGAUAUAGAAAAAAAACCUAACGAGGGUUGAAAAUGAACUGUCCUCAAAAUAUAGACGGAAAAAUCGUGUGGUUCAAUUUCUUAUACCCGAGAUCAGUUUUCAAUCUAUUAUUUUCUUGAUAUGAAUACUAAUUGAAAUUGGCCACACAGACUAGCUAACUGUGGUGGAAAGUGACCGAUUGUGUACCAGAGACGCUGAAGUACUUAACAUAGCCUUUAGAAAUACUCGACGAAGCCUCUCUUGACGAAGCCUAUAAUAAGUGUAUACAUUGAUGCGCUUACUCGUGACUUGGGUGGCUGAGGGUAGGCAAGUGUGUACGGUACUCGACUAAGCCCCUAUACUUGACGAAACCCUUAAACUCGAUCCUUCUACUGACUGGGGUGGGAAGGGUAGGAGAGUGUGUACAAGGUGUGGCGGUACUCGACCAAGCCCCUAUACUUAACGAAACCCUUAAACUCGAUCCUUCUACUGACUGGGGUGGCUGAGGGUAGGAGUGUUUGUAUUAGAUGUGGCGGUACUUGAA